AGCUUGUGUCUGCAGUGACCAAUGGUUCCCAUUACUGCGCUCCAUACAGAGGAGCAGCCUAGAGUGGGCACUGAGUACAUCACCACAACUACAUCCCAUGUGCAUGUACUCUGUGUACUCUGACACCUUCUCCCCAUCCCCCCAAUCUGCCUUCCAACCCCUUUCCCCACACACUUACUCACAGAAUCCUGUUGUCACGGGGAUGCUGGCUUUACCAGUGCCUUCAUCGAUCUCCAAACAGGAAGAGCAAAGUGUCCCAGUCCCAGAUAUUGUUGAUAAGACGAGAGCACUGUUCUGUCAGACACUGAAGGCUGGUACAAGU